ACAUUCACAAAAAGAGACAGAAUAGUGGCACAGACAUAAAUGUGACAAAGACAUUGAAACCGAUCAAGAUGCUUCAAGCCUGCGUUUGGCUAGCGUUCAUAGGGACGUUGGCGACCCGUACCUGAUCUGCGCAGCGGCCCGAUCUGGGAGCCAUUGAUGCCGCCGUAGUCCUUGUCUAUGAGGAUCCGGAUGACCAGGCCCCUGGAGUGGAGGGCCAGGACCGCUCUGCUGAGGUCCAUGUUGGAGAAGGCAAA